UACGUAGGUGGCAAGCGUUGUCCGGAUUUACUGGGCGUCAAGAGCGCGCAGGCGGUCGUUCAAGUCGCGUGUGAAAGCCCCCGGCUCAACUGGGGAGGGUCACGCGAUACUGAUCGACUCGAAGGCAGGAGAGGGUAGUGGAAUUCCCGGUGUAGUGGUGAAAUGCGUAGAUAUCGGGAGGAACACCAGUGGCGAAGGCGACUACCUGGCCUGUUCUUGACGCUGAGGCGCGAAAGCUAGGGGAGCAAACGGG
rnacentral:rRNA from 1 species